UGGCCCAUAUCCAAGGGGGGGCAGUGAGCUCACGGAGCAGGAAAAUGUUCUGCUGACACCCUCUUGGAGGGUCUCAGACCCAUGUUCCUGGGGUCCACCGACCCCCGCCACACCUCAUCAGACUGAGUCUCCAGCCCGAUGGGACCCGACCUCCGCCCACGCCUUCCAAGCCGUCCGGGUUGCAAUGGUGAGGGCAGUCUCGAGUGCCCAGCUCACGAUCUGAAUCGCCCUCCUCCUCCGGCCGAUCAGAUCAGGAAAGCCGUGUCAAAGAGGUACGGAGGUCAGAACUGUCCGGCUCCUGCGCUGCUUGUGGCACGCAGCCUCCUUCCCUGGGACUGCCCCGGGCACCGCCUCCAGCAUUGUCCUGUGCGGCUGCCGCCGGGGAGCACGGACACUGCGGCCGGCCAUCCGGGAGCGCCACUGCGCGUGCGCAGGCGGGGCGUCACAAGCGCGAGCGCUGAGCCGGGCUCGCGUCACAGUGACGGUCACCGUGUCCUGGGGAACAGUCUGAGCAACUUGAGAAAGCAGGGGCCCACGGCGGGAGUGCCUCACCGUUGGGCGACGGCUCCCCCCUCACGGCGAUCGUCGCCACGGUCCCGCGAUUUCCGGAGUGCGGCUUGGCAGAACCAGGCGGAGAAAACGUCCAGCGGAGCUUCAGGGAUGCCCAGGGCGAUGGAUCCCCAAGAACCCCCUAGAUGCUUCAGGCUUCCCCAGGCACUGUUGGCGUGUGUCUUCUUGAAAGCUCUCCCUACCGGGAAUUGCAGACAGCAGUGGUGAGAAGCUGGGGUCCCUGGGCUUUGAGACCAAUGCAGAAUCUCCAGCUUCAUGGGACCAGAUUUUUGCUUACGCUGUCCGAUUCUGAAUCUAAUGGGGAGUUCAGUCUGGAGGGCCUACUUCAGGGUCUGCAAUGCCCUCCUCCUCCAACUGACCUGAUCGGGAAUUUCGGGUGAAUGCAGUACUUCGCAGAAUCACAUCAGCUACAUCUUAGUACCUCUGCCCAGAAUAAAAUUCUUUUAUUUUUUGGACGAAAACUAUGA
rnacentral:lncRNA from 13 species